AUAUUAUUUAUGCCUCUAACUGGAACGUACCUUGAGCAUAUAUGCUGUGACCCGAAAGAUGGUGAACUAUACUUGAUCAGGUUGAAGUCAGGGGAAACCCUGAUGGAAGACCGAAACAGUUCUGACGUGCAAAUCGAUUGUCAGAAUUGAGUAUAGGGGCGAAAGACCAAUCGAACCAUCUAGUAGCUGGUUCCUUCCGAAGUUUCCCUCAGGAUAGCUGGUGCAUUUUAAUAUUAUAUAAAAUAAUCUUAUCUGGUAAAGCGAAUGAUUAGAGGCCUUAGGGUCGAAACGAUCUUAACCUAUUCUCAAACUUUAAAUGGGUAAGAACCUUAACUUUCUUGAUAUGAAGUUCAAGGUUAUGAUAUAAUGUGCCCAGUGGGCCACUUUUGGUAAGCAGAACUGGCGCUGUGGGAUGAACCAAACGUAAUGUUACGGUGCCCAAAUUAACAACUCAUGCAGAUACCAUGAAAGGCGUUGGUUGCUUAAAACAGCAGGACGGUGAUCAUGGAAGUCGAAAUCCGCUAAGGAGUGUGUAACAACUCACCUGCCGAAGCAACUAGC
rnacentral:ncRNA from 1 species